rnacentral:rRNA from 1 species
AUUGAACGCUGGCGGCAUGCCUUACACAUGCAAGUCGAACGGCAGCGCGGGGCAACCUGGCGGCGAGUGGCGAACGGGUGAGUAACAUAUCGGAACAUACCCUAGAGUGGGGAUAACGUAGCGAAAGUUACGCUAAUACCGCAUACGCACUAAGGUGGAAAGUGGGGGAUUCGCAAGAACCUCAUGCUCAUGGAGUGGCCGAUAUCUGAUUAGCUAGUUGGUGAGGCAAAGGCUCACCAAGGCGACGAUCAGUAGCUGGUUUGAGAGAACGACCAGCCACACUGGAACUGAGACACGGUCCAGACUCCUACGGGAGGCAGCAGUGGGGAAUUUUGGGACAAUGGGGGCAACCCUGAUCCAGCAAUGCCGCGUGAGUGAAGAAGGCC